CUUGAGCCUCUUCCCUGAAAAGGCUUUAGCAAAGUUGUCACCUAUUAGGCUGAGGUUAUUAGAGAAGAGAGGGAAGAAGAAAGAUCAAAUUCUCUUUGCAGACAUGGACUUCCAAACCAGGGAGAGCUGGAAAGUGACAAGGAUUUAGGGGACCCCUGUGGUCCCUCUGGACACUGCACCUGAAAAGGAGAGCUCGGGCAGCAGCACCCGAGAGCAGAGCGGUCCUGAAGCUGAGGCAGCGUCUUCCAGGGCUGGGAGGUCCUAGGGACCCACAGCCACACUGUCUCCAUCCCUCUGUUCCCCUGGGAUGGCUAGGCCCACCCGGUCACACCACGAGAAUGACUAACCUCCUGUAGCAGGAGUCUGUCACGCAAAAUAUAAGGACUGCCCACCCACCAUUCUAGAAUGUAGCUGUGGAUCCUGAGGACUGCUUGGCUUC
rnacentral:lncRNA from 1 species